rnacentral:rRNA from 1 species
UACGUAGGGGGCUAGCGUUGUCCGGAAUCAUUGGGCGUAAAGAGCGUGUAGGCGGUCCGGUAAGUCCGCUGUGAAAGUCGGGGGCUCAACCCUCGAAUGCCGGUGGAUACUGUCGGGCUAGAGUGCGGAAGAGGCGAGUGGAAUUCCGGGUGUAGCGGUGAAAUGCGCAGAUAUCAGGAGGAACACCAAUGGCGAAGGCAGCUCGCUGGGACGUGACUGACGCUGAGACGCGAAAGCGUGGGGAGCGAACAGG